UACGUAGGGUGCAAGCGUUAAUCGGAAUUACUGGGCGUAAAGCGUGCGCAGGCGGUUGUGCAAGACCGAUGUGAAAUCCCCGGGCUUAACCUGGGAAUGGCAUUGGUGACUGCACGGCUAGAGUGUGUCAGAGGGGGGUAGAAUUCCACGUGUAGCAGUGAAAUGCGUAGAGAUGUGGAGGAAUACCGAUGGCGAAGGCAGCCCCCUGGGAUGACACUGACGCUCAUGCACGAAAGCGUGGGGAGCAAACAGG
rnacentral:rRNA from 1 species